rnacentral:rRNA from 1 species
CCUACGGGAUGCAGCAGUGAGGAAUAUUGGACAAUGGGUGGAAGCCUGAUCCAGCCAUCCCGCGUGCAGGAAGACGGCCCUAUGGGUUGUAAACUGCUUUUAUCCGGGGAUAAACCUACUUACGUGUAAGUAGCUGAAGGUACCAGAAGAAUAAGCACCGGCUAACUCCGUGCCAGCAGCCGCGGUAAUACGGAGGGUGCAAGCGUUAUCCGGAUUUAUUGGGUUUAAAGGGUCCGUAGGCGGACUAGUAAGUCAGUGGUGGAAUCCGACAGCUUAACUGUCGAACUGCCAUUGAUACUGCUAGUCUUGAGUAAGGUUGAAGUGGCUGGAAUAAGUAGUGUAGCGGUGAAAUGCAUAGAUAUUACUUACAACACCAAUUGCGAAGGCAGGUCACUAAGUCUUAACUGACGCCGAUGGACGAAAGCGUGGGGAGCGAACAGGAUUAGAAACCCUAGUAGUC